GACGAACCGUGCAAACGUUGUUCGGAAUCACUGGGCUUAAAGGGCGCGUAGGCGGGUUCGUAAGUCUGUGGUGAAAGCCCCCAGCUUAACUGGGGAAGUGCCAUGGAUACUGCGAGUCUUGAGGAGGGUAGGGGCAUCUGGAACACUGGGUGGAGCGGUGAAAUGCGUUGAUAUCCAGUGGAACUCCGGUGGCGAAGGCGGCGACCUGGUUCGAUACUGACACUGAGGUGCGAAAGCGUGGGGAGCAAACAGG
rnacentral:rRNA from 1 species